UUGUAAUCCUUGGGCCCGGGAUUCUUAUCAUGUUCUUUUCACUGGUUUUGGUUAAUGUGUUUGUUCUGAAGACAGUAGCCUGGGGGAAUGAGACAUCUCCUUAAGGCGCCGCUUGACUGACAGACACCCUUAAUGUAUGUAAUUCAUGGAAAACUACAGUCCCCACCUCACCCCCCUAAAAAAGCAAAACAUCUGAGUUAGGGGGUGUGUCAGAUUGAAAUGGUUGAAGAGUGAAUGGUGGCUGGAAGGUGAGCAGUUAGAAGUGAUUGCAAAUUCCUUUCCAGUAUAUUGUCAAGAAGGAUAGGAUGGUGGCCUGACACCCAGCUCUGCUAUUUAUUCUGUUAUCUCUUACAGGUUAGUCUCCCUCUUUGAGUCUUAGUUUCUUGUCUGUAAAAUAAGGGUGAUAUUACCGGUCCUCCCUGCUUGUCAGUUUUUGUGAAGGCAGUUCAAAAUAAAGUAUGUCAACAUAGUUCCUAAACCCCACAGUCUCCCAAAAGUGAGUGAGUUGGUAAUCAGUAGAGUGUCCAGUGUAAUACAAGGCCAGGGCCGCUAGAAAUGCCGUUCAAAGCAGACCGCAUCUACAAAAUACCUUCACAGUAACAGCUAGAUUAGUGUUUGAUUAAAUAAUUUAAUUAAAUAAUAAUAAUUAAUAAUAGCCUAGCCAAGUUGACACAUAAAACUAACCCUCAUACCCCAGAAAGUCUUUGCUCAAAUAUUAUGUUUUCCUAACAUUUAAAAUUGCAGUCCUACACACGUGUACAUCUUCCCUAAUAUUCUCUCUUCCCGUUCCCCUAGCCUGCUUUCCUUUAGCAUUUAUUAUCUUUGAGCCAUCCCUGUAUUUCUUAUCUCUAUCUUUAUUGUCUUUUUGCCUUCUCUGGAAUGUUAGCUCCACGUGGGCGGGGCAUUUUUGUCAAUGUUGUGAACCGAUGAAUCCUCAGCACCCAGCACAGCAUCUAGCACACAGUGGGCUCCUAAGAAACCUUUGCAAAUCACCGAAUGAAGCAUUAAUGUGAGCACUCAGUAAAUAUUUUUUCAAAUGAAUUUAGAGCUGGAGUUCAUCAUGAGAUAUUCCUGAACAGCCUCAGUAGGAGAGAAGUAGGAAAAGGGUAGAAGCAUGGCAGAUUAUAGGAAAAAAGAGAAAAUUUUCAGAGUUUGACAUCUAAGAAGUCGAAGAUUUAGUGAAGAAGGAGCACAGACUUGGGUGUUAAGUUCCCUUUACCCCUUAGCUGUGUAACUUUGGACAGGUUGUCUAAUCUCCUUGAACCUCAGUUUCUUCGUCUGUAAACUGGAAAUAGUAAUACUUAUCAUGUAGGGUUGUACCAGUGGUGACAAGUUGAUGCGUUUAAUGGGCUUAGCAUAGGACCUGGCCCACAGUGAGUGUUUAUUAAGAGGUGUCUGUUGCCAUCACCACCAUCAUCAUCAUCAUUAUUCAAUAUCAAAGUGGGGAAAUUUAUAAGAAAUCAUUGAAGUGUACUAAAAGUAAAAUUUUGGGAUUUCAGUCUAGCCUGUGAAGUUGGGAUGUUAAAAAUCUGAAACAAUGUUAACACACAAGUUUGGUUUGUACAGAGUGUCAGGGCAUAGUCACUUUUGUGCCAGGUCCUUUUAUUUUGUUUCAAAACAGAAUGAAAAUCUUUUCAGCAUAUAUAGCCCAUAAAACACAGUAAUUGACAUCAAAUCCUUCAGUUUGCCCCAAGCUGCCACUUAAAGUGCAGAGUUAGUUGGUUCCAGGUCAGAGGUGCCAUUCAUUUAUUUUCAACUGAUACAUGAGACAAAAAGUGCAGUCUUCACUGCUGAUGUUCUGCUCACCAGGAUUCUUUUGUUAUCUCCUGAGGUUGUUGCUUUGGACAACAAGAGAGAUGUUAGGUUCCAGCAAAGCUCCAUAAAGACACUGACUCAACUCCACCAUAAGUAUAACCUGUCACCAUAAGUAAAACUGAAAGGAUACACCUUAUCACCAUACUAUAUAUAUAUACUGUAUACUAUAGUAUAUACCUUAUCACCAUAAGUAUAGCUGAAAGGUUU
rnacentral:lncRNA from 1 species